rnacentral:rRNA from 1 species
UAGAGUUUGAUCCUGGCUCAGAUUGAACGCUGGCGGCAGGCCUAACACAUGCAAGUCGAACGGUAACAGGAAGCANNNUGCUGCUUCGCUGACGAGUGGCGGACGGGUGAGUAAUGUCUGGGAAGCUGCCUGAUGGAGGGGGAUAGCUACUGGAAACGGUAGCUAAUACCGCAUAAUGUCGCAAGACCAAAGAGGGGGACCUUCGGGCCUCUUGCCAUCGGAUGUGCCCAGAUGGGAUUAGCUUGUUGGUGGGGUAACGGCUCACCAAGGCGACGAUCCCUAGCUGGUCUGAGAGGAUGACCAGCCACACUGGAACUGAGACACGGUCCAGACUCCUACGGGAGGCAGCAGUGGGGAAUAUUGCACAAUGGGCGCAAGCCUGAUGCAGCCAUGCCGCGUGUAUGAAGAAGGCCUUCGGGUUGUAAAGUACUUUCAGCGGGGAGGAAGGGAGUAAAGUUAAUACCUUUGCUCAUUGACGUUACCCGCAGAAGAAGCACCGGCUAACUCCGUGCCAGCAGCCGCGGUAAUACGGAGGGUGCAAGCGUUAAUCGGAAUUACUGGGCGUAAAGCGCACGCAGGCGGUUUGUUAAGUCAGAUGUGAAAUCCCCGGGCUCAACCUGGGAACUGCAUCUGAUACUGGCAAGCUUGAGUCUCGUAGAGGGGGGUAGAAUUCCAGGUGUAGCGGUGAAAUGCGUAGAGAUCUGGAGGAAUACCGGUGGCGAAGGCGGCCCCCUGGACGAAGACUGACGCUCAGGUGCGAAAGCGUGGGGAGCAAA